AAUGAAUUGCUUAUUGGAUUUUGCGACUGUCAGGCUGCUGUCUGUUUGGUUGCUAAGAAAAUAGAAGGAAAAUUUUCUCUUACAAAAAAAAGUGGAAAUUUUGUUGUGCUUAAUUUGCUUUUGUCCCCGGUAGUUUCUUUGUCACCAAACAAGGUUUUUAAUGAAAGCAUCUGAUACUUUCUCAGCACCAAUAUGGACGGGUUAGAGAAGAAGAAUGUGGCAAUUACUCAAUUCGAACCUGUAGAUGCAUGGUGGAGCUUUCCAUGUUGCGAUGAACCUGCUCUGAAGGACACUUUCAAGAUAGCAGUAGAUGUUCCACUGGAGCUGACAGCUUUAUCCAAUAUGCCAAUUGUCAAUGAGAAGCUUGAUGCAAAUGUUAAGAGUAGACUGCUUAUUUUGAGGAGUCUUCUAUCAUGUCAACUUAUUUAGUGGCUGUUGUUGGUGUAUUCUAUUAUAUCGAAGACACAACAUCCGAUGGUAUGCAAAUAGGCGGACACUGUUCAAUUGUGUAACAGAAUUCGUUUUAGAUAUUACUUAAACUUUGUCUGCGGGGGUACUGGUUCGUGCAUAUUGCCCUGUUGGGAAGAGUGACAAAGGGGACUUUGCUCUAAAAGUUGCUGUUAUGGCGCCCGAUCCUUUCUCCAAAUGGCAAUAGUUGUAGCACAUGAAGCAUCACAUGACGAUGGAAUGGUGGACCGAUUUGUGGCUUAAUGAGGAUUUUCGAUUUUGUGACAAGGAUGAGGGAGGGGGUACAAAAACUGCUCUAUGCAGCAUAUUUAUCUGCUGGUUGGCAAUUCCUGAAGUCUUAGAUGAAAUCAGCUAUAAAAAGGGAUCUUCUGUUAUGAAUGCUGCAGGAUUAUCUUGGGGAUGACGUAUUCCAGGUACAAAAUUGAUGUCCCCCUAGCGAGAUUACCUUUCAUGCCGUACCAAUAACUUAAAGUUUUCACAGUGAAUACUGUGGGCUGAAGUACUCUUCUUAAUCUUAUCACCAAAUACACUGCUUGAAAUUAGGCCUUGCAAUCCUUGACAGUAUUCUGCAUCUUAAUCUUAUCACCAAAUGCACUGCUUGAAAUUAGGCCCUUGCAAUCCUUGACAGUUUUCUGCAAUUCCAUGAAGGCCAAAGAUGGGAAAUUGAAGAGUUCUUGUUAUGAAGACAUUCUAGUUUGCAGUACAUUGUCAAUUUACUCUCUGUAAUCAGUUAAAUGUGUUAACAUAUAUUCAGUUUGUUUAUUUACUGUGGGGCUUCAUUACCCAAUCGGAAAAUUGUUAAGUUCCUAUAUAAAACGAUAUUCUGGCAAAAAUGCAAAGACAGAAGAUUUAUGGAGUGUUCUUUCGGAGGAAUCUGGUGUCAAAGUCAGUGAAAUGAUGGAUGGUUGGACAAAGGAAAAGGGAUAUCCUGUUAUCUCCGUAAUAGUCAAUACCAAAAUCAUAUUAUCUGCAGAAAUCUAAUGAAUUUUUUGUUUUGCAGACACAUUUCCUGUCAUCCGCUGUGCAUGGUGAUGGGAAAUGGAUACUUCCAAUAACUUUUUCACUUGGUUCGUAUGAGAGGCGCAGGACUUUCCUUUUGGAAACAAAGUCAACAGAAGUGAACAUUUCAGAUCAUGUCGAUUCCUCUGAUAAUGAUUUAAAGAAUAAACAGAAAUGUGAUGAACAACUGUGGUCAAGGUUAACAUCAAGCAGAGCGGUUUCUUUGGCGUCAAUUAUGAAGAUAAGCUUGCAGCUAGCUUAGGAAGGCUAUUGAGCAAGCUUAGAAGCAACGGAGAAAUUCGAAAACUUGGUUGGGAAUCAGUACCAGGAGAGAGUCACUUCAGUGCACUUCAGAGAGCAGAAAUCUUGCAAGAUUUGGUUACGUUCGGCCAUUACAAAGCAUAAAAAGAAGCAUUAGACUGAUUUCAGACAUUAUUGAACGACAGAAACACUCCGCUACUUUCCUCAUCCUUAUUAGGCAUUUUCGAGUUUAACAGGCAGAAGUCUGAACAUUGUCCUGCAGGCUGUUUACAUUGCCGUGAUGAGGAAUGCUAGCAGUUCAAAUAGAGAAGGUUUUGAUUCCCCAUUAAAUGUUUACAGAGAAGUGAAUACAGUGCAAGAGAAGGAAAGGAUUCUACGUAAGAUUGAAAAGCUUGCAUUUUCCGGCAUUCCCCUAUUCUCCGUCUCUUGCUUAGACGAAAGUAACUUGGACUUUUUUCUUUACGUUUUGACCUUGUAUCAGGGUUUUUUUCCAUCUUCUCCAGACCCGGUUACAGUUCUGGAGGUUCUGAACUUUUUUGCCAGUUUACAGCUUACUUCAUCUUAAUUAUUUUCAGGUUCGAGAUCAAUACAUCAUUUACGGACUUAUUGGUACAAGCUUAGAAUGCUGUGAAACAGCGUGGAGAUGGUUAAAGGCACGAGUUUUAUUAAUUCCUGGAAACAUGUUUUAGAUGAGUGUGGAAUUGGAGAGUAAACUAUUUUUGGCUAUGAAUGCAGAAGAACUGGGACCUGAUCCUGACCAAAGACAGCGCUGGGAUGAUGCUCACCCAUUUCGUGAGAGACAUUGUGACACCGCAACGAAAAGGCUGAUGAAGUCGAAGAAUUUUGCGAUAGCCGAGCGAAUCCUGCAAUUUCUCUGACUUUGAAGCAAAAGCAUUGCUCAAGUCCAAAUCAAGGCGAGGUGGUUUGAACACAUGAGGCAACAGCAAUCCCUUUUUGCGGUUUAGCGCAAAUCCUCACUUCUAAUAUCGUUGUAUGGAAGAGAAAAAAAUGUCGACUUGGUAUAUAAUACCAUGAACAUGUCCUCGUUUUUUGGGUCAAGACUCAAUAUAUGGCAAUCAAACCAAAAAAUCAAAGGUUUUCUUGUUGGA